AGUCUUAUUUCCUGGACGAACCCUAGCUGAGUUGUUCCCGGCGGCGUCGGGGGAAACGGAGCUGGAGCCGAUCGAGGAAGGGGACGAGGCACAGCGCGGCCGUUGCGUGCAUCCCCCCGACGGAUGCACGCAGGAGGAGGCGACCUGGUAGGGAGACGAGGCGCCGCGCGGCCGUGGCGUCCGACCCUCGGCUCUGUGCGGCGGCGAGAUUGGGCAAAGGUAGGAGCGGCGGUGGUGUCAAGGUCUUCGGCUCCCUCGAUGGAUUUGCGGCGACGGGUGGGCGGAGUGGUGGUUGACUCGCAUCGCCGGCGAGGCGGGGGAAAGGUAGCAGCGGCCGUGGCAUCUAGGUGGUCGGCUUCCUGGACGGAUGAAUGUUGCAGCACCACUUCGAGCUGAACUGAGAUGAGCAUCGACUAGUUCAGAUUUCAGAAUGGUUGUAGUUUGUCAAUCCGGGAGGACCUGCUCAACAAGUAUGCAGAACAGAUGGUUAACUACUGCACCACGACUUCAGACAAUAGUCUGGAUGAUUCAUCGGUGAACCUUGUGAACAAGAAGAAAGAACAACUUUUACAACUGGAGAACAAACUGGACUAUGUAUGUUAGAACUGUCAGAGUACAAAGACAAGAACAUAUGUCAUGAUAAAAGACUCGAAGACGAAAAAUGCAAAUCUAGGAAAUGCCGUGAACUUUUCUGGUUC